rnacentral:rRNA from 1 species
GCCGCCCAAACCACGCCACAGGAUAAACCCCUCCCGGACGAAACAGCCCCGUCUCGGCUCGGCCGUCCACACCCACCCACCCACGCGCCCGUCCCCAACCCGUUCGGCGAAAUGCCGCCGCCGCUCUCCGUCUCGCUCCCGUCGCCGCAGCCCCUCUCCCUCCUCCCGCGCCACGCCAGGGCCGGCCACACCCACUCCCUCGCCCUGGCCCCGCCCCUCUCCACCAGGGCGCCGCCCUCCUCCGCCUGCUCCGUCGUCCCCGCGCGCCACUCCGACUACUUCGACCCCCGGGCCCCGCCGUCGCAGCGCGACGCGUACGGGCAGCCGCCUCUGGAGAGGGAUCCGCCGGUGCCGGGCGGCCAGGCCGGGCGGGUGUUCGCCAGCUACAGCAUCUACAAGGGCAAGGCUGCGCUGGCCUUCGACCCCAGGCCGCCGCAGUUCGUGCCGCUCGAAUCUGGGGCGUACAAGGUGGCCAAGGAGGGGUUCGUGCUGCUCCAGUUCGCCCCCGCCGUGGGGCCCCGGCAGUAUGAUUGGACUCGCAAGCAGGUGUUCUCAUUAUCUGUCUGGGAGAUGGGAACCUUGCUUACUCUUGGUCUAACAGAUUCGUGCGAGUUCUUUCAUGACCCUUUCAAGGGGAGGAGCGAUGAAGGUAAAGUGCGCAAGGUUCUAAAGGUUGAGCCAACACCAGAUGGCAACGGUCGCUUUUUCAACCUCAGUGUUCAAAACCGUCUUUUGAACGUUGAUGAGAACAUUUACAUCCCUAUAACCAAAGGAGAAUAUGCGGUCAUUGUAUCGACUUUCAAUUACAUCAUACCGCACAUCAUGGGCUGGAGCACGUUUACAAAUUCUAUCAAGCCCGAGGAGUCGCAGCCAUACAAUAGGCCGCAGUCCUCUCCCGAAUUGGAGUGGCGAAGGUGAAGAAUGACAACGCUCUCGGACGGAGAUGGCAGGAAGAAUGAUACUUUUGGUGGUGUUCCUUCCAGAAAAGAAAUUCUUGGUGGUGGUGUUUGGAAAGUAUUUUGGUGCAUAAUUUGGCUGGAAUGGCUUACAUGAGACUUAUUGUAGCAAUUUUUGCCUGGAGGUAUUGCAGUACCCCGUAUGGAUCAUGGAUACCUGCAUCAGAUACCCGAAGCUCUAAAGCCUGAACUGUUUUGCAUUUGCAAUGCAAGUUGUUCAUUUGCUAAUUCUGAAUUCAAUAUUGUGAACUUGUCAUAUACUGAAACUCGAGUCACAUAUUCCCAACAUUUCUUGCGUCCUUAUUGAGUAAGCUCUGUGCUACCCUGCUCUCUGAUUUGCCUAUUUAAAAAUUACUCCCUUCGUCCCAUAAUGUAAGACGUUUUUUGACAUUACACUAUUUGUUUGUGAUCCUUGUGAACCAAACCAGUAUUUGUAAUCCAAGAUGGUUGUCGUAUUUUGAUACUGGCAAAAGUCUAUUUCAG